rfam:Stegodyphus mimosarum contig21946, whole genome shotgun sequence.
CAUCUCUAAGAGGAGAUAUAUCUUUGCAUGAGUAUCUCUAGACAUCUGUGGUGACUGCACCAGUCCAUUCAUGCAGGUAAACAUGCAAAACCAUGAAUGGCUCAUUAAAUCAGUUAUGUUUCCUUGGAUAAUACCUUACCACUUGGAUAACUGUGGCAAUUCUACAGCUAAUAGCAGAGCUCUGACCCUCUGGGGACGAGUGCUUUUAUUAGACCAAAACCAAUUGGACCUUGUGUCCAUACUUUGUGGUGACUCAGUAUAACUUUGAGCUGAUGGCACGGGCUCGUCUCAGUGAUGUUUCUUUCAAGUGUUUGCCUUAUCAACUGUUGAUGGUAGGUUAUGCACCUACCAUGUGCCUUAACGGGUGACGGGGAAUCACGGUUCGAUUCCAGAGAGGGAGCCUGAGAAAUGGCUACCACAUCCAAGGAAGGCAGCAAGUGCACAAAUUACCCACUCUCAGAACAGGGAGGUAGUGAUGAAAAAUAACAAUACGGGACUCUUUUGAGACCCUGUAUUUGGUGUGAAUACACUCUAAAUCCUUUAAUGAGGAUUGAUUGGAGGACAAGUUUUGUGCAGUAGCCGUGGUAAUUCCAGCUCCAAUAGCGUAUAUUAAAGUUGUUGCGGUUAAAAAGCUCAUAGUUGGAUCUCAUCCAGAUGGGUGGUCUGCCUACCGAUGGUUACUGCCUAUUCUGAACAGUCAGCCAGUUUCCUUUGAUGAUCUUCACCGGUUGUCUUGGGUGACCUGUAAGUUUACUUUGAAAAAAUUAGAAUGUUCAAACCAGGCAUGACGCCUGAAUAAUGGGAGAAGGAAUAAUGGAAUAGGACCUCGGUUCUAUUUUGUUGGUUUUCGGAAUACGAGGUAAUGAUUUUAAGAGGGACAGACAAGGGCAUCUCUGACACUUCAGAUACCUGUCUACAGCACCUGCACUAGGAGUCAUGAUAAUUG